UGUUUCUAUCCGUCCUUGUUGUUUUAGGCAAGUAUCAUAAUCAGAAAGCAAGACUUUGGUUUUCUGUUCAGAAUUGUCUGACAACAUUCGUCCUCUCGAGGCAUUUCGUAUGGUUUCUAUAUUGUCACUGUUGAAGGUCGUAUGCACAUGUAGUUUUCACUGUCAUGAACUAAAGAGUCGUUUUAACCAAUAAUUAUUAUAUUUCACGAAAUAGAAUACAUAUCUUACCAUUUUUAUGUAUUUAUGCAGCUGCCAUAAUCGUUCUGGGAAUAAUAGUCUUGCUAUAUGAUAGAAUAUACAACAGACUACACAGAGAGCAUUGGUUUACAAGAAAUAAGAAAAAACAUCAGGAGAUACAAAUAACCAUAAAAUGAGUACUAUACAAAACGGAUCAAAGAGGAAGAAUGAAUUCGGGAAUGACAAAGGGGAAUUAGAAGAAACAAAAACAAAAGAAAACGUUGAUGAUUCUGUGAAGAAGACUAACACAACAAUUUUAAAGCAAGGUGCAAACAGUGCUGUUACUAAUGAAGAACAAAGACCAAAUGAUACGAAUCGCAAAACAUAUGUGAAUGCAGUGUUAGUGAAACCACAACCAGACAAAGGAUAAAUGAAACUCAUUUAUAAAACAAAACUUCAAUUAUGGACGAUUAAGGGACGGAUGGUCAUCCAAUGAGUCAGCGGUGUAUGUUGGUUCUCAAUUAAUGACAGCAAAGCACUAACAUUAAAAUGUCAAAUACCUAUUAAAAAAAAGAGUAUGAAGACAAACACAAAUAGUUUAGGUUUCAAAUGCGAGAAAUAUGCUGAUGACUUUUCAUGCAAGUUUUUUAGCUUGGUGAAAAACUACUUGGGUGUUAAAAGAUGACCUUAUAUGAAAGUUUGAUAUCCUAUGAU